UUUAUAAUUCCAUUUCCUUGUUAAUUAUAGAUCUUAGAUCAUAUUGUGGAUAAGGUUAAUUUGAAGGGACUCUUCCUUGCCUGUUGGAUAUUUUUCCAUGAGAUUUUCCUUGUCCCUAUUAACAGCGAUGGAGUGUAACAAAGAAGAGGCCAUUGAUGCAAAAGAUAUUGUGCAAAAAAAUGGUGGAAGAUAAGUGUUUUACUGGAGCACUGAAGAUUGCGAUGAAGGCCCAACACGUUGAUCCUGAUCUAGAGAACAUUUCUCAGAUUAUUAUGGUUCGUGAUGUACAUUGUUUUGCUGAGACCAAGGAUUAUGGGGGCGAAAAAGACUGGUACAGUAUUCUCAAAUUUGAGCGAACGGCUGAUGAAUUGUUAAUAGAAAAGCAGUUUCGAAAAUUAGCUCUCUUACUUCAUCCUGAUGAAAACAGAUUUUCUGGUGCGCGGAGGAUGCCUUUGUGCAUAUUGUUGAUGCUUGAGCUGUUCUUGCAGACCGUGAAUGUAAAACGACUCGAAUAUCUGAAGUACGAAGUGUUGGGAGACUAUCUGGGGCUAAAAACAACUUUUUAAACAAUGGUACUUCACAGUUCAAGCAUCAGCAGCCGCAACAGCUGUCACAACAAGGAUUACUUAACAAUUAAUCAACCAGUAGAAAGUUCUUCAAUGAAUAUGAAGUUAAUUUGCCAGGCAUGCCACCAGGAGGAUCCAAUAGGCGCCUACCUGCUUUUCCUCAACAGGAAGAGGCUACUAGCCGGCACCUGUCUAGAGUUGGCUCACAAAGUGCAUAUGAGAGCUCUACUUCAGCAACGGCAGCUGAAAGAAAUAUGGGUAAUGAAAAAGCAGCUUAUAAAAUAUUGCCAAAGACUUGAGACAAUUGAGAAGGGUGAGGGCUCCAGGCCGAC
rnacentral:lncRNA from 1 species